rnacentral:rRNA from 1 species
GACGAACGCUGGCGGCGCGCCUAACACAUGCAAGUCGAACGAGCGAGAGAGAGCUUGCUUUCUCAAGCGAGUGGCGAACGGGUGAGUAACGCGUGAGGAACCUGCCUCAAAGAGGGGGACAACAGUUGGAAACGACUGCUAAUACCGCAUAAGCCCACGGCUCGGCAUCGAGCAGAGGGAAAAGGAGCAAUCCGCUUUGAGAUGGCCUCGCGUCCGAUUAGCUAGUUGGUGAGGUAACGGCCCACCAAGGCGACGAUCGGUAGCCGGACUGAGAGGUUGAACGGCCACAUUGGGACUGAGACACGGCCCAGACUCCUACGGGAGGCAGCAGUGGGGAAUAUUGCACAAUGGGGGAAACCCUGAUGCAGCGACGCCGCGUGGAGGAAGAAGGUCUUCGGAUUGUAAACUCCUGUUGUUGAGGAAGAUAAUGACGGUACUCAACAAGGAAGUGACGGCUAACUACGUGCCAGCAGCCGCGGUAAAACGUAGGUCACAAGCGUUGUCCGGAAUUACUGGGUGUAAAGGGAGCGCAGGCGGGAAGACAAGUUGGAAGUGAAAUCCAUGGGCUCAACCCAUGAACUGCUUUCAAAACUGUUUUUCUUGAGUAGUGCAGAGGUAGGCGGAAUUCCCGGUGUAGCGGUGGAAUGCGUAGAUAUCGGGAGGAACACCAGUGGCGAAGGCGGCCUACUGGGCACCAACUGACGCUGAGGCUCGAAAGUGUGGGUAGCAAACAGGAUUAGAUACCCUGGUAGUCCACACUGUAAACGAGGAUUAAUAGGUGUUGGAGAUGGACCCCUCCAGUGCCGCAGUUAACACAAUAAGUAAUCCACCUGGGGAGUACGACCGCAAGGUUGAAACUCAAAGGAAUUGACGGGGGCCCGCAUAAGCAGUGGAGUAUGUGGUGUAAUUCGACGCAACGCGAAGAACCUUAUCAAGUCUUGACAUCCUGCGGCGGUGCUGGAAACAGUACUUUCCUUCGGGACGCAGAGACAGGUGGUGCAUGGUUGUCGUCAGCUCGUGUCGUGAGAUGUUGGGUUAAGUCCCGCAACGAGCGCAACCCUUAUGGUCAGUUACUACGCAAGAGGACUCUGGCCAGACUGCCGUUGACAAAACGGAGGAAGGUGGGGAGGACGUCAAAUCAUCAUGCCCCCUAUGACUUGGGCUACACACGUACUACAAUGGCGUUAAACAAAGAGAAGCAAGACCGCGAGGUGGAGCAAAACUCAGAAACAACGUCCCAGUUCGGACUGCAGGCUGCAACUCGCCUGCACGAAGUCGGAAUUGCUAGUAAUCGCAGAUCAGCAUGCUGCGGUGAAUACAAUCCCGGGCCUUGCACA